rnacentral:rRNA from 1 species
UUCCAACCUAAGAAUUAAUUAAUUUAACAAAUUUUUCCUAAAAUUAACUAUCCUCUUAUAUUUUCCUUUAACUUCCAACUAAUAUAAUUUAUUCCUAUCCUACGUAUAACCGCGGCUGGUGGCACGACUUUAACCGAUCAUACAUCAGAUUACUAACUCCAAAUUUCCUUGAUUAAUUAAAACCAAAUACUGCGAAUAAUAAUUACACCCUUUAGGCUCCAUAAUCACCCCCCCAAAUUUACAUGUAAAAUAUCCAAACAAUAAAUUUUCAAGUAAAAAUAAAACUU